rnacentral:rRNA from 1 species
UACAGAGGGUGCGAGCGUUGUCCGGAAUCACUGGGCGUAAAGGGCGCGUAGGUGGCGCCCCAAGUCCGUGGUGAAAGCUCGAUGCUCAACAUCGAGUCGGCCACGGAAACUGGGGGGCUCGAGCACUGUAGAGGCAGAUGGAAUUCCCAGUGUAGCGGUGAAAUGCGUAGAUAUUGGGAAGAACACCUGAGGCGAAGGCGGGUUGCUGGGCCGACACUGACGCUGAGGCGCGAAAGCCAGGGGAGCAAACGGG